rnacentral:rRNA from 1 species
ACGGAAGGCAGCAGUGAGGAAUAUUGGACAAUGGGGGCAACCCUGAUCCAGCCAAACCGCGUGCGGGAUGAAGGUCCUACGGAUCGUAAACCUCUUUUAUGUGGGAAUAAUUAGCGGAACGUGUUCCGCUUUGAAGGUACCACUUGAAUAAGCAUCGGCUAACUCCGUGCCAGCAGCCGCGGUAAUACGGAGGAUGCAGGCGUUAUCCGGAUUUAUUAGGUUUAAAGGGUGCGCAGGCGGGACAUUAAGUCGGUGGUGAAAUACCGUGGCCCAACCACGGGGCUGCCAUCGAUACUGAUGACCUGGAGUGCGGGUGACGUAGGCGGAAUGUGGAGUGUAGCGGUGAAAUGCUUAGAUAUUCCACAGAACACCGAUUGCGAAGGCAGCCUACGAAUGCGUAACUGACGCUCAUGCACGAAAGCGCGGGUAGCGAACAGGAUUAGAUACCCUGGUA